rnacentral:rRNA from 108 species
GCGACCCCAGGUCAGG